rnacentral:rRNA from 1 species
GACGAACGCUGGCGGCGUGCCUAAUACAUGCCAGUAGAACGCACAGUUUAUACCGUAGCUUGCUACACCAUAGACUGUGAGUUGCGAACGGGUGAGUAACGCGUAGGUAACCUGCCUGGUAGCGGGGGAUAACUAUUGGAAACGAUAGCUAAUACCGCAUAAUAUUAAUUAUUGCAUGAUAAUUAAUUGAAAGGUGCAAUUGCACCACUACCAGAUGGACCUGCGUUGUAUUAGCUAGUAGGUGAGGUAACGGCUCACCUAGGCGACGAUACAUAGCCGACCUGAGAGGGUGAUCGGCCACACUGGGACUGAGACACGGCCCAGACUCCUACGGGAGGCAGCAGUAGGGAAUCUUCGGCAAUGGACGAAAGUCUGACCGAGCAACGCCGCGUGAGUGAAGAAGGUUUUCGGAUCGUAAAGCUCUGUUGUAAGAGAAGAACGGGUGUGAGAGUGGAAAGUUCACACUGUGACGGUAUCUUACCAGAAGGGGACGGCUAACUACGUG